UUCCUCUCUGCACAUACCCCAUGUCUCACCACAAAGAUGGAGUUACAGUGGGACUUGGAAUCCAGAUGUGUGAAGGAUGGAGGGGUUGAAGCCGCACUCAGCUUCCUGCCCCACCAGAGGAAGUGGGGAGAGACGGCAGGUGCAGUGAUGGCUGGCGGAGUCAUGGACAAGGAGUACGUGGGUUUUGCUGCCCUCCCCAGCCAGCUGCACCGCAAGUCUGUCAAGAAGGGGUUUGACUUCACACUAAUGGUGGCAGGAGAGUCAGGCCUAGGGAAAUCCACCCUCAUCAACAGCCUCUUCCUCACCAACCUCUAUGAGGAUCGCCAGGUGCCAGAGGCCAGUGCUCGCUUGACACAGACCCUGGCCAUUGAGCGCCGGGGUGUGGAGAUCGAGGAAGGGGGUGUGAAAGUGAAGCUAACCCUUGUGGACACGCCUGGCUUUGGAGACUCAGUGGACUGCUCUGACUGCUGGCUUCCCGUGGUGAAAUUCAUCGAGGAGCAGUUUGAGCAGUACCUUAGGGAUGAGAGUGGCCUGAACCGGAAGAACAUCCAGGACUCCCGAGUCCAUUGCUGCCUCUACUUCAUCUCACCCUUUGGCCGGGGGCUCCGGCCCCUAGACGUGGCCUUCCUCCGGGCAGUACAUGAGAAAGUCAACAUCAUCCCAGUCAUUGGCAAAGCGGAUGCCCUGAUGCCCCAGGAAACCCAGGCCCUCAAGCAGAAGAUCCGGGAUCAGUUGAAGGAGGAGGAAAUCCACAUCUACCAGUUCCCUGAAUGUGACUCUGACGAAGAUGAAGACUUCAAGAGGCAGGAUGCAGAGAUGAAGGAAAGCAUCCCUUUUGCAGUCGUGGGUUCAUGCGAGGUGGUGAGGGAUGGCGGGAACCGACCAGUGAGGGGACGCCGCUACUCCUGGGGGACCGUGGAGGUGGAGAACCCACAUCACUGCGAUUUCCUGAACCUGCGAAGGAUGCUAGUGCAGACACACCUGCAGGACCUGAAAGAGGUGACGCACGAUCUGCUCUACGAGGGCUACCGGGCCCGCUGCCUACAGAGCCUGGCCCGGCCUGGGGCUCGCGAUCGAGCCAGCCGCAGUAAGCUUUCCCGCCAGAGCGCCACGGAGAUUCCGCUGCCCAUGCUGCCUCUGGCGGACACCGAGAAGCUGAUCCGCGAGAAAGACGAAGAGGGUCCAGGACCUUGAAGGCUCCAGUUAUCACAUCCUCAGGGUCGGCACCUGGGGGAGACAGAGGGCACAUGAAGCUGAUGGGUCCCUGAAGGAUCUGGGAAAAGGCAGCUGGGGCCUUGGAUCCAGGACACUCCACUCACCCUUGAGCUUCUCCCCGAACAUGUUCAGGAAGACGGUGAAGUUGAUGGGACCACUGGCUUCCUUCAUCAUGGCAUCCAACUCCUCAUUCUUCACAUUGAGGCGGCCUGGAGGGGGUUGGGGGAAGCAUGGGCUGGAGCAGCCUCCUGCGGCCAGGCCUGUGCUUCCUACUAAUUCAGAUGAUCACAUCCAUUUUUCAGCUGGGUAGACUGAGGCCCAAGGUGGAGCUGACAGGGCUGGAACCCAAGGCCACUGAAUUUCCUAGACUCUGCAGCCUUGAAUAUUCCCACCUGGAGGUGCACAUUCCAGGGAGAGGGCGGGGGAGAGGGCCAGCAGGACUGUUUUUGGUCAGUCUUCCAGUUUCCGUUGUCCCCUCACCUCCUUGAACUCCUGGAUCUGAGUCUGGUCAAACAUGGAGAAGACGCUGGAACUUCCACCCUCUACUGCCCUUCUCUUGGCCUUCUUGGGUGCCUGGAGGGUGAGGGUUGAACAAAGGUUGGACAAGUCCCUCCACCUCUCUGGGAGCAAUAAAUUAGAUUCAGAAUUC